UCAGAAUGUCCUGAAUAUUUUUGAAAAUCACAAAAAAACAUAACCCUAAAACACUUGCGUUUGACGCAGCUUCUUCUCUCGACUUUGUUCUCCUUCUCCGAUCUCUCGGCGAUUUGCCCGACGAGCUUCCUCUGUUCAACACCUUCCUCUGUUCAUCUAGCUUCCUCUGUUCGUCAAGCUCCUCUGUUCAUCAAGCUUCACUGUUUAUCGACGUCUUUAGGGAUUGACAUGGUUGCUUUCUGAGAAGUUGCAAGCUUCAAAUACUGGACUAGAAACAGGUUUUGUGAUAUUAAGGUAACAAUUACUGGUUUCAAGUUUAGACUAACUGAGUUAUAAAUGAGUUUUGGUCUCUUUGCUUAUUCAACUUAGACAUUUCAUUGACUUGUGAUACUACACUUGUUUUAAUGGGUUUUGGAAAUGAGCGAUUGGUGCUUUUGUUAGUUUGAGUUAGGCGUGGGCAUUCGGGUACCCAUUCGGGUUCGGUUCUUUU